rnacentral:rRNA from 1 species
UGGGGAAUAUUGCACAAUGGGCGCAAGCCUGAUGCAGCCAUGCCGCGUGUAUGAAGAAGGCCUUCGGGUUGUAAAGUACUUUCAGCGAGGAGGAAGGCGUUGUGGUUAAUAACCGCAACGAUUGACGUUACUCGCAGAAGAAGCACCGGCUAACUCCGUGCCAGCAGCCGCGGUACUACGGAGGGUGCAAGCGUUAAUCGGAAUUACUGGGCGUAAAGCGCACGCAGGCGGUCUGUCAAGUCGGAUGUGAAAUCCCCGGGCUCAACCUGGGAACUGCAUCCGAAACUGGCAGGCUAGAGUCUUGUAGAGGGGGGUAGAAUUCCAGGUGUAGCGGUGAAAUGCGUAGAGAUCUGGAGGAAUACCGGUGGCGAAGGCGGCCCCCUGGACAAAGACUGACGCUCAGGUGCGAAGGCGUGGGGAGCAAACA